GAUGAACGCUGGCGGUAUGCUUAACACAUGCAAGUCGAACGGUCUUUUAGGAGACAGUGGCGGACGGGUGAGUAACGCGUAAGAAUCUACCCUCAGGUCGGGGACAACCACUGGAAACGGUGGCUAAUACCGGAUGUGCCGAGAGGUGAAAGGCUUGCUGCCUGGGGAAGAGCUUGCGUCUGAUUAGCUAGUUGGUAGUGUAAGAGACUACCAAGGCGACGAUCAGUAGCUGGUCUGAGAGGAUGAUCAGCCACACUGGGACUGAGACACGGCCCAGACUCCUACGGGAGGCAGCAGUGGGGAAUUUUCCGCAAUGGGCGAAAGCCUGACGGAGCAAUACCGCGUGAGGGAGGAAGGCUCUUGGGUUGUAAACCUCUUUUCUCAGGGAAGAAAAAAAUGACGGUACCUGAGGAAUAAGCAUCGGCUAACUCCGUGCCAGCAGCCGCGGUAAUACGGAGGAUGCAAGCGUUAUCCGGAAUGAUUGGGCGUAAAGGGUCCGCAGGUGGCAUUGUAAGUCUGCUGUUAAAGAGUCUAGCUCAACUAGAUAAGAGCAGUGGAAACUACAAAGCUAGAGUUUGGUCGGGGCAGAAGGAAUUCCUGGUGUAGCGGUGAAAUGCGUAGAUAUCAGGAAGAACACCAGUGGCGAAGGCGUUCUGCUAGGCCGAGACUGACACUGAGGGACGAAAGCUAGGGGAGCGAAUGGGAUUAGAUACCCCAGUAGUCCUAGCCGUAAACGAUGGAUACUAGGCGUAGCUCGUAUCGACCCGAGCUGUGCCGGAGCUAACGCGUUAAGUAUCCCGCCUGGGGAGUACGCAGGCAACUGUGAAACUCAAAGGAAUUGACGGGGGCCCGCACAAGCGGUGGAGUAUGUGGUUUAAUUCGAUGCAACGCGAAGAACCUUACCAAGGCUUGACAUGUCACGAAUCCUGUGGAAACAUAGGAGUGCCUUCGGGAGCGUGAACACAGGUGGUGCAUGGCUGUCGUCAGCUCGUGUCGUGAGAUGUUGGGUUAAGUCCCGCAACGAGCGCAACCCUCGUUUUUAGUUGCCAGCAUUAAGUUGGGCACUCUAGAGAGACUGCCGGUGACAAACCGGAGGAAGGUGGGGAUGACGUCAAGUCAGCAUGCCCCUUACGUCUUGGGCUACACACGUACUACAAUGCUACGGACAAAGGGCAGCUACACAGCGAUGUGAUGCGAAUCUCRUAAACCGUAGCUCAGUUCAGAUCGAAGGCUGCAACUCGCCUUCGUGAAGGAGGAAUCGCUAGUAAUUGCAGGUCAGCAUACUGCAGUGAAUUCGUUCCCGGGCCUUGUACACACCGCCCGUCACACCAUGGAAGUUGGUCACGCCCGAAGUCGUUACCCCAACCGCAAGGGGGGGGAUGCCUAAGGUAGGACUGAUGACUGGGGUGAA
rnacentral:rRNA from 1 species